rnacentral:snRNA from 1 species
GGAUGUGAGGGUGACUUGGCUGUGACAUCUGUCACCCCAUUGACAGCCAGGGUUGAUUCUUCUGAUCUGGCUGGCGGGGCGGGUGUCCCCUUCCUCCCUCAAUGCUCCAUGAGCCUCCCUCCUGAAGCUCAGUCAAAGAGGAUGACAACGCCCCAUUGAGGAGGACCAUUUCCCUCUGAAGGGUAAACGAGUUGCUGGGCUCCCCUGUGAGAACCUCCAAACAAGCUCUCAGCACCAGAAAGUAUAUCUCCUGUCCCCUGGUGCAGGCUGGCUUUAGUUACCUUGGACUGGUCUUUUAACUUAAAUUCUGUUGCAGUGUUUUAUGAUUGCAUAUCUGGUCUGGUACAAUGGUCAUUGCACUGCAUAUCUUU